UUGUAGUUCGUGUGCAAGAACAGAGAUAUUGAUCGGAGAAGACAGAUACUUUUUAAGAUCUUUAUUGUUUUUUGCAGAUGAUUUGAACACUGGGCAAACAGGGCGGGCGUGCGCACCGCCGCAAAAAUUACAAACAUGCAAAUAGCGGCAUCUUUGCCUGGAACAUCGGAAAUCAUUAAAGUUAUUGCAGACCUGGCGGCUGUUGGAUGCAGAGAAACGGCUUGGAUUAUUUGCAGGACCUGGGCGAUCGAAUCUGGACUGUGGCACGUAUGAAGUGGAUUUAGCGGAGUCAGGGGCUACCCGGGGGCUGGUGGUAUUUUGUACUGACGGACAAGAGUGAGACUGGUGGUCGAGGGAUCUACAAAUGGCACAAGUGAUGUUGCGGCAGCCGAGAAAAACUCUAUUAUAUAAUUCGAAGUCCAGUGCUCCCCAGUAAGGGCACUGGUUCCAGUGGGUGACUCUCGUGGCGCAUUUGGCGGAAAAUAAUUUGUGGCUAUGACGAAUUCUGUGAAAGAGAGGAUGCGAUUGGAGUUGGAAGACGAGUCUUUAAGGACGACGGAGAAAGCGCCACAGUCCAGAGAGCGAUGGCUGUCUUUCUUUGGAAAGGGAGAGAGGAGGGACGCCAGGUCCACGUCCAUACCUGAAAGGAUUUGAGAGCGAAGGAUUGGAGAUGGUCUGGGCGGAGUCACAGAAGGAGAGGUACGAGGGUGUCUUGCUGGAGGCGGAGAGGGAAGAUUUAAGCGGCGGCGCUUAGGUGAAACGGCAGCAGGACGCUGAGGAGGGCGUCCUCUUUUAUCGAGGCUCUGCGAAGGAGCAGGGUUAGGGUUUGAAGGUCCUGGUGAUGGCUCAACGACCGUUGAUGAUAAAUCAGCGUCGGAGGAAAAUUCUUCGUCGGAGGUGAAGAGCAGGAGUUGGUCUUUGGAGGACAUUAUUCCGGAAAUGGGCGGGGCCUAUGCCGGAUGAAUCGUCAAUGUGAGGCGUGGAGAUUAACUCGCUUAAAUAGGCUCUCGAGAUGAUUGACAGGACUGAAUGUUUUAGGCUCCUCCCGAACCUACGUUUAGAACU